rnacentral:lncRNA from 1 species
UCACCAGCCAGGCAUCAGAAACUCCAACACAAAGAAAACAAUGGCUCUUAAGUGUUUCCCUCUUCCACAAUAAUGUUGUGUGCGGCUGGUGGGCAUGGACCUAGAGCCCUGGGAAUUAGUUACAAUCAUCAAAACAAAAUACCCAAAGUUUGUUUAUUUGUAUGACUGCGUCUUCUGACAUACUUUUGUAAUGACCAUGAAAUGUUAUGAUUUCCAUUCCAUAUUCAUGAAUCAACAACCAACUCUCCAGAUUUGUUUCUAGUAAUAUUAGAGAGAAGGCUAAUUCAGUCGCUGGACUCCAGGCAUGCUGUUUGUUUCAACGUGUAUAAAAUUACACUGUUUAUACCUGGAAUACUGAUCUCAUGUUUUGUAUUAUUUUACCUUUAUUUAGCUUUCAAAAACAAACUGAAAUAUUGGUGGGGGAUUUCAUUUUUCAGGCUCUAGCGAUUGUAUUGACCAAAAUGGCAGCAAAGAGGCAAAAUCACUGACUCUCCUUCCAGUCCAAUACCCCUGUCCAAAGGCCUCUCCACUCCUCGCUCCCUGGCACUGCCUGUGCCCCCUGCCCUGAGAUAUAAUUACAUGGCUGUUUCAGCAGCGUGGUGACCAAUGCCAUGCAUUAGCAGUGUGUCUCCCGUUGGCUGGGCGGCUGACGGCCCAAUUGAUGGCUAGAUUGGCCUGGCUCCUGUCCACACACCGAUCACCUCACCGGGCUCAGACCAACGGAGCGGGAGCCUCUUUCGCUCUUCCUCCUCCCCUUCUCUCCCUACUCCGCCUUCCCAGCCCAAGGUUAUCAGGGGGAAUUACCAUUCAGCGGACUGACGGUCGGUAGGUCGAAAAGGAGGAGGAGGCAGGAGGAACCGCUAGAUGGCCAGAGGUGAGAGACACUUCCAUCGAUGGAUACACAGGCAGGCAAGCAGACCAGGCAGACCUGCUGGGCCACCAAUUCCCCCGGCCCAAAUCAAACCUCUCACCCAGAGCAGAGUAGUGCUGGCUGGUUUCUUUCAGCUCCUCUCUUACUGUCAGUUCACCAUGGCAGGUCU